GAUGAACGCUGGCGGCGUGCCUAACACAUGCAAGUCGAGCGAACCCUUCGGGGUGAGCGGCGGACGGGUGAGUAACGCGUGGGUAACCUGCCCUGUACACACGGAUAACAUACCGAAAGGUAUGCUAAUACGAGAUAAUAUAUUUUAAUCGCAUGGUUAAGAUAUCAAAGCUCAGGCGGUACAGGGUGGACCCGCGUCUGAUUAGCUAGUUGGUGAGGUAAUGGCUCACCAAGGCGACGAUCAGUAGCCGACCUGAGAGGGUGAUCGGCCACACUGGAACUGAGACACGGUCCAGACUCCUACGGGAGGCAGCAGUGGGGAAUAUUGCACGAUGGGCGAAAGCCUGAUGCAGCAACGCCGCGUGAGCGAUGAAGGCCUUCGGGUCGUAAAGCUCUGUCCUCAAGGAAGAUAAUGACGGUACUUGAGGAGGAAGCCCCGGCUAACUACGUGCCAGCCGCCGCCGUAA
rnacentral:rRNA from 1 species